UUCAAGGCGCGAGAGGGCCCGCGACCACCGCGACGUGUCAUGGUCGACGUCGGUAUGACGCGUCAGCACUUUACCCGCGCGGACGGCGCGCCACUGGACACCGCGCGCGGCGCCCCCGCGCACGACCCACUAGACCUCACACCUUACCUGCCGUUCACCCAUUUCUGCUGACGCUUGCGGAUAGAACCGCCCCGGCGACUGCCGUGUGUAGCUGUAGCAGCGCGUUCAGUCUUGAGCCCGCCAGCCACCAUGAUGGACGCCGACAGAGUCGCUGCAGCCCAGCGCGAGCUCGUUGACGACAUCAUCCGAUACUUCAACGUAGUGGACAUGGCAGUCUACACGGAGGUGAGGCCGGACCUGCAUCUGUGUUGCGGAGAGUUGCAGCGACUCAUCAGCCACCUAUUGGACAAGUUCGGACUACAGCGGACUGAGCCCACGCGCAACAUGCCGGUCGGCAGCGCAAUUGAGGCCCUCUGCGAAAUCGAGAGGUUGCUGACGGCGGCCCAGUCGGGCAAGCUCAUCCCCUCUGACAGUACGAUGGCCAGCUACAUCGCCAUGGUGAGCCACUACAUGAAGUACGCCGCGUGACGGUUCGCAGAGGGAGACGCGCGUCCGCGCGGACGCCGCCGCAACACUGCUGACACAAGCCUCAUGGAGGUGGACGAAUGGACCCUAUGAUGACGCUCCCAUCACGCAACUGUCCAGUCUGCGCAUACCUGCGGAUCCUCCGACCUAAAUCCACUCACUUCGGUAGUCGCCUUUACGGCCGUGUGACCAGACGUGGUGUUAUAUCCGUAAGUGUGGAUUAGGCUGUGUGCCGUGUGCCUUGUUAUUGAAUGUGUGACGUCGUUUGUCGAUGUGUCACUAGUAAUACUGAGCAUGCCUGUCCUUUUGUGCUACUACGGUUAAAAAAUAAUACAUCCAUGUCUGUUAUCCCCCCAA